rnacentral:rRNA from 1 species
UACGGAGGGUGCAAGCGUUAUCCGGAUUCACUGGGUUUAAAGGGUGCGUAGGCGGACAUGUAAGUCCGUGGUGAAAUCUCUAAGCUUAACUUGGAAACUGCCAUGGAUACUAUAUGUCUUGAAUGUUGUGGAGGUUAGCGGAAUAUGUCAUGUAGCGGUGAAAUGCAUAGAUAUGACAUAGAACACCAAUUGCGAAGGCAGCUGGCUACACAAAUAUUGACGCUGAGGCACGAGAGCGUGGGGAUCAAACAGG